ACGGGUGAGUAACGCGUGGGAAUCUACCUUUUGCUACGGAAUAACUCAGGGAAACUUGUGCUAAUACCGUAUGUGCCCUUCGGGGGAAAGAUUUAUCGGCAAGAGAUGAGCCCGCGUUGGAUUAGCUAGUUGGUGGGGUAAAGGCCUACCAAGGCGACGAUCCAUAGCUGGUCUGAGAGGAUGAUCAGCCACACUGGGACUGAGACACGGCCCAGACUCCUACGGGAGGCAGCAGUGGGGAAUAUUGGACAAUGGGCGCAAGCCUGAUCCAGCCAUGCCGCGUGAGUGAUGACGGUCUUAGGAUUGUAAAGCUCUUUCACCGGUGAAGAUAUGACGGUAACCGGAGAAGAAGCCCCGGCUAACUUCGUGCCAGCAGCCGCGGUAAUACGAAGGGGGCUAGCGUUGUUCGGAUUUACUGGGCGUAAAGCGCACGUAGGCGGACUUUUAAGUCAGGGGUGAAAUCCCAGAGCUCAACUCUGGAACUGCCUUUGAUACUGGAAGUCUUGAGUAUGGUAGAGGUGAGUGGAAUUCCGAGU
rnacentral:rRNA from 1 species